rfam:Vibrio parahaemolyticus RIMD 2210633 DNA, chromosome 1, complete sequence.
GCACUUAACCUCACUGUUUAUUUUUGACUUCUUUUUCCUUCCAUAGUUGGAGGGGCUAACUCGUUUGUGAAAGAAAAGUCAAAAACAAACAGAAAGCCUCCCCACUCGGGAGGCUUUUUUUAU